CCUACGGGUGGCAGCAGUGGGGAAUAUUGCACAAUGGGCGGAAGCCUGAUCCAGCAACGCCGCGUGAGUGAAGAAGUCUUUCGGUUUGUAAACCUCUUUUAACAGGGAAGAGCAGAAGACGGUACCUGUCUAAUAAGCCCCGGCUAACUACGUGCCAGCAGCCGCGGUAAUACGUAGGUGGCAAGCGUUGUCCGGAAUUACUGGGUGUAAAGGGAGUGUAGACGGGCAGACAAGUCCGAAGUGAAAUCCGGGAGCUCAACGGCCGAACUGCAUUUGAAACUGUUUGUCUUGAGUCUAGGAGGGGCAGGCGGAAUUCCUGGGGUAGCGGUGAAAUGCGUAGAUAUUAGGAGGAACACCAGGGGCGAAGGCGGCCUGCUGGACGGUAACUGACGGUGAGGCGCGAAAGCGUGGGGAGCAAACAGGAUUAGAUACCCGGGUAGUC
rnacentral:rRNA from 1 species